rnacentral:rRNA from 1 species
GACGAACGCUGGCGGCGUGCUUAACACAUGCAAGUCGAACGGGCCCGCCCCUGUUUUUGGGGGUGGGUUGAGUGGCGAACGGGUGAGUAUCACGUGAGUAACCUGCCCCCUGCUCCUGGAUAACUUCUUGAAAGGGCGGCUAAUACGGGGUGUGCCGGCUGGUCCGCAUGGGCCGGGUCGGGUUGGUUUCUUCUUCGGUGGUUUCGGUGGGGGCGGGGUUCGCGCCCUUUCGGCUGGUUGGUGGGCGGAUGGCCCACCAAGCCGGUGACGGGUAGCCGGCCUGGGAGGGUGGGCGGCCAGACUGGGACUGAGGCACGGCCCAGACUCAGGCGGGAGGGAGCGGUGGGGGGUAUUGCGCAAGGGGCGGAAGCCUGAUGAAGCGACGGCGCGGGAGGGAUGGAGGCCUUCGGGUUGGGAACCUCUUUCUGCGGUGGUGAAGGCCGUGUGCGUUGCGGCGGGGUUGACGGUAGCCGGGUAUGAAGCGCCGGCUAACUACGUG